rnacentral:misc_RNA from 1 species
GGCAACCCUAGAGUAACCCCGGAAGUGACAAGAGAUGUGUGCUUAUUGGCUAGAAUGAUGGCUGCAAAUCUGUAUUUCUCUCAGAUUGAGGAUCUUAUGUUUGAGCUUUCAAUGUGGCGAUGCAAUGAUGAGCUCCGUGUCCGUGCAGAAGAACUUCAUAGGACUUCCAAAAGAGAUGCAAAGCACUACAUUGAAUUUUGGAAGAAAAUUCCACCGAAUGAGCCCUACCGUGUUCUUCUUGCUGAUGUGAGAGAUAGGUUAUAUAAUACACAGGAACGAGCUCGUCAGUUACUAGCCAAUGGGUAUUCUGAUGUUCCUGAGGAGUCGACAUUCACAAAUCUUGAACAGUUUCUGGAACCUCUGGAGCUGUGCUAUAGAUCUCUGUCGCUUGUGAGACUUGAUAUUCGGCAAGAGUCAGAUAGACACACUGAUGUUCUAGAUGUUAUAACAAGGCACGUGGGUGUUGGCUCCUAUAAAGAAUGGUCUGAAGAGAAGAGACAGGAAUGGCUCUUAUCUGAACUAAGUGGCAAGCGUCCACUUUUUGGACCUGAUCUCCCUAAAACUGAUGAAGUCGCUGAUGUUUUGGAUACCUUUCAUGUCAUCUCCGAACUUCCCGCCGACAGUUUCGGUGCUUAUAUAAUUUCGAUGGCCACGGCACCCUCUGAUGUGCUUGCUGUUGAGCUUUUGCAGCGUGAAUGUCAUGUAAAAAGUCCAUUGAGGGUUGUUCCGUUGUUUGAAAAGCUUGCUGAUCUCGAGUCUGCACCUGCUUCUGUUGCUCGGUUGUUCUCCAUAGAUUGGUACAGAAACCGUAUCAAUGGGAAACAAGAAGUUAUGAUUGGGUAUUCUGAUUCCGGUAAGGAUGCUGGCCGACUAUCUGCAGCUUGGCAAUUGUACAAGGCUCAAGAGGAACUUGUAAAGGUGGCAA